rnacentral:lncRNA from 1 species
AGAAAGAAAAAUCAAAAUCUAAUAAUACAGCAGCCCGAGAACCUAAUGGUUUUCCCUCCGAUGCCUCAGCCAAUUCCUCCCUCCUCCUCGAAUUCCAGGAUGAGAACAGCAACCAGAGUUCUGUGUCAGAUGUCUAUCAACUCAAGGUGGACAGCAGCACCAACUCAAGCCCCAGCCCCCAGCAGAGCGAGUCCCUGAGCCCAGCACACACCUCAGACUUCCGCACGGAUGACUCCCAACCCCCCACCCUGGGCCAGGAGAUCCUUGAGGCAGCCCUCUCAGACCAGGGAGGCUUGGUAGGAAGGGUGAUGUCCAGAAUGGCAAGUGAACGUUGGCUCCCAGUGUCUGCCACUCACUCAGGCUGGGAUGGUGGCCCUCUGUGAUCCGGUCAACUUCCUUCAUCUUAUGUGAGAGACAGGGCUUCUUAGCUAGACCCUGCACCUGUGGUUGCUGAGCCUGCAUCCUCCGGAUGUCAGUCUCAGGAACUGCCCCAGGCCCAGGCCGAGGCUUGACUUACCUUGGGCUGACACUGCUGCUCUUACAGAGCCUUCGCUGCCUGCGUCUGAGGUUGCAGAUGAACCCCCCACGCUCACAAAGGAAGAACCGGUGCCAAUAGAGACCCAGACCACUGAGGAAGAGGAGGACUCUGGUGCCCCACCCUUGAAGCGAUUUUGUGUGGACCAACCUGUAGUGCCGCAGACCACGUCAGAAAGCUAGCACCUUCCGGCCCCUCGCCUCCUGGCCCCUGCCUCUAUUUAUUGCAUUCUGGUCUGGCCGAGCUCUGAUGCUGGGGUCCGGGCAAGCACUAGGGUCCAGAGCCUGUGCGUGGGAGCCCUCUGGGCUAGAAGGCUGACGGAGGGCGUGGGGUCGUCGCACCAUCUUCCUGUCCCUGACACUUGUGUCUGCUUGCUCUUGGGCAGAGGAGCGCUCACAUCUUUUCUGCACCCCAAGUAGGCCAGAGCAACAGGGUUCAUGUCUCACCUCCGAACCACUGCACGGAGCUGCUGGCGCCGCCACGAGGAGAAAGGUGUGGAGGGCACCCUAGAGAGAGUGCCUAGAUUACUCGAACUGAAUGGAGACUGUAGAGUAUGGACUGUGCCGCGGGGCCAGGCCCUGCAGGCUGCUGCUGGAAGAGGGACUGACCGGUAGAGAAGCGGAGAACACGGGAGAAGAGGCUCUUCCAGGAGGGAGGGGCUUCCACUGUGGGCAGGAGACCCACGGGGGAUCGCAUCCUUCCCUGAGGCAGGCCGGCCUCUGUUGGAUGCCCCAGCCGCUCCCAGCCCUGUGCCUGCCAGAACCUUCCGCUUCCUCACGCUCACUACGCACACGCGCAGCUUCCUGUCUUCACCUGUUUCAUUCCAGCAUCCCUGCCUCCUGCCACAGAAAACCCCAGCCAUGAUUGGAGGUUCUGACCACAGUACCUGCCCCCAGUACUCUUUCAGCUCAGACUUUCUAGAACGUUCCCUUUUCUUUAAAAUCUGCAUGUUUAAUUAAACUUUAUGAUUUUAUUUUUUGUCUGAAAAAA